AAGGGAGACCUAAUUCAGGUAGGAGACAAAAAAAAAGUAGUCGCUACCAAGAAUCAAUCCCAAAAGGUCGGAGCGAGGCGAAAUUGGCUUUCAAACUAGGUUCUGGGUUCACACAAGACCUGAAUCAGGAACAAGGGCUAUUAGCUCAGGUGGUUAGAGCGCACCCCUGAUAAGGGUGAGGUCCCUGGUUCGAGUCCAGGAUGGCCCACCUGUACAGGUGGCAAAAAGAAAGAAAAGAAGCGAGGAAUCAGCACCUUAUCUUACUGACAUAGUAAGAGAGAAUGCUGGCUCUGAGUAAAGAGUCCAGAGGAACCUUGAAAACUGCAUAGAGCUAGGUGGAAAAGCCAAAAAAGAAGACCGCAA
rnacentral:tRNA from 1 species